rnacentral:rRNA from 1 species
UACAGAGGGGGCAAGCGUUGUUCGGAAUUACUGGGCGUAAAGGGCGCGUAGGCGGCCGUCUAAGUCGAACGUGAAAUCCCCGGGCUCAACCUGGGAACUGCAUUUGUGACUGCAUGGCUAGAGUACGGUAGAGGGGGAUGGAAUUCCGCGUGUAGCAGUGAAAUGCGUAGAUAUCUGGAGGAACACCGGUGGCGAAGGCGGCAUUCUGGACCGAAACUGACGCUGAGGCGCGAAAGCUAGGGGAGCAAACGGG